UACGUAGGGCGCAAGCGUUGUCCGGAAUUAUUGGGCGUAAAGAGCUCGUAGGCGGCCUGUCGCGUCGGCUGUGAAAACCCGGGGCUCAACCCCGGGCCUGCAGUCGAUACGGGCAGGCUAGAGUCCGGCAGGGGAGACUGGAAUUCCUGGUGUAGCGGUGAAAUGCGCAGAUAUCAGGAGGAACACCGGUGGCGAAGGCGGGUCUCUGGGCCGGAACUGACGCUGAGGAGCGAAAGCGUGGGGAGCGAACAGG
rnacentral:rRNA from 1 species